UUCGUUUGUAAUACCGCGCAUAAGCGAGUUUGAGCAGGUGCAACGUUCCGCAUAAAACGAGCUGCAAAAGUGAGGAGCGACCAGGUGGACGGAUCGGUAAACAAGACUCGCUGGCAACAAUCUUCGUCUCGCGAGCGCGAGCCUCCCCAAUCGGCGGCUCUUCGCCGAGCCAGCUAACCCACUUCCCCGGCACGUCGCGAGGCCUCAGGGUCGCCGACCUUGAUCGAACCAGUAAUCGAGAUCGUAAUUAACUUGCCAGCGGAUCACGCUCGCGAGCGUCACUUCGGAAAUCCCUGCAUUCCUUGCGCGCCAUUUUUCACUUCGUCUCUCAAUGUUUCUCGCUCUUUGAGAGUUUUUUUCUCAAAAUUUGAGGAUUUCCACUUCAAAUUAGAAGCAUUUUAGAGGUCCGUGAAAGCGACUCGCGGGCACGUUCAAUCAUCGGGGACUGAGUCGUGAAAACUCCCUGAGAAAAGAAUCAGCAAACGUUUUGUUGAAUCAUCGAAUCGUGACGAACAAAAUGAAAUUGUUGACUCGACGAUGUUUCCUUCGUAGAGCGGAGUGCUUCGGUGUUUACUUGAAUCAGCGAAUCAAGAAACACGAUGUUUGUUGAUGGGAAGUAAACAAUUGCCAAGUGCCCUUGAAACCAACGCGAAUUUCCCAAGUUCCCUCGUCGAUAUGAGACCGGAGAAGAGUCGAUUCAAAGAGAACACAAAACAUCAGAGAUCAAUAUCUUGAAAAUCGUGCAAACGAUUUGUCGGUCUCAUUGUUAAAUGUGCAGCCUCUGUGGGCAUUGAAGCCCAAACAAACUUGUGACGAAACUCGUUUGCUCAUGGACAAUGCGACUUGGAGAAGACAAUGCGCAGACUCGUCACAUCUCUGUUUGAAUACUCCGAAUGCGUUUGUAUCACACUGAGGUCACGUUUGAAUGAUCAAUUGCAAAAGAAUAAAAAACAUUAAAAACCGAAGAGCCCACAA